AUGAGUGUCCAGCUCUGGACUCCUCCUUCCACUUCAUGGUCUCCGGCCAUUUUAAGCCCUGCUCACCUCCGGCCUUGUAUGAGCCCUCCUGGAAGAGCCAAGCCCCAUGGCAGCACUGAGGCUGGAAACCCGCCUGUCCCCAAGCAGGGAGGAUUUACCUGUAAAAUGAGCACGCUCUGUUCUGGGGAACUCACCCAAGAGGUAACCACGGUCAAUAAAGGUGUGGCUAAAAAGGAGCCUUCCCUCACCAUCUCAAAAACUUAACACAAAAACAUCUCAGAGAACAAAGUACCCUUGACUCUUAUCUGUGAAGCUAGUGGCUUUUACCCAGAAGACAUCAGCAUGUCCUGGUUGAAGGACAAUUCCCCAGAACUCACGGCCAGUUACAACAAUGGCCCCAUGGCAGGAAGUGGUGCCUUCUUGGCCUACAACAUCCUGAAAGUCAAUCAAACCAAAAGAACAGAAGACUUCACCUGCACGGUGCAUCACCCAGCCUUGGAGGAGCCCAAGAGAGUGGUGGAAAAGGUGUUCUUCCGUGGCAGCGACUGUCAUCGACCCCCUCCGAAGGUCUUCCUCCUUCCCCCAUCCCUGGAGGAUCUCUACAUAGCACAAAAUGCCACCAUCACUUGUGUGGUGAGCAGCAUGGAGACCCCCAGCAGCCUGGAGAUCUCCUGGAGCAGGACAAAUGGAGACCCAUUGAUGAUGGACUCCAGGGAGCUGGUGCAGCAUCCAAAUGACACCUACAGUGCAGUCAGCAUCCUGAGGGUGUAUGUGAAGGAAUCGGAAGCAACGGAGAAUUUCACCUGCACUGUGAAGCACCAAGAGAUGCCAUCGACAGAGGCCAAGACUAUCUACAAAAGUCGUGAGGUCUCUUUCUGGGCCCCUUCUGUCUAUGUCUCCCCUCCUCAUGCACUGGCUCUCCAGGAAUGAGCCACCAUCACUUGCCUGGUCUUUAACUUCUGGACGAGAGACAUCUUGGUCACAUGGACCCGGAAGGACCGGCCCAUUCCACAGGAAGCCUACACCAACAUUAGCCCCAUGCGAGAGGCUGGGAAGGAGGAAAGCUACUUCAUCUACAGCAAGCUCAUAAUCCAGGUGUCUGAAUGGCAGAAGGGGGACACCUAUUUUUGCAUGGUGGGGCAUGAAAGCCUGCCCAAGAGCUUCACCCAACGGAGCGUUGACAAAACCUCUGGUAAACCCACCGCCAUCAAUGUCUUUGUGGUCUUGUCCAAUAACGAUGUCACUUGCCACUGA